rnacentral:rRNA from 1 species
UACGAAGGGGGCUAGCGUUGCUCGGAAUUACUGGGCGUAAAGCGCACGUAGGCGGUCUUUAAGUCAGGGGCGAAAUCCUGGAGCUCAACUCCAGAACUGCCUUUGAUACUGAAGAUCUUGAGUUCGGGAGAGGUGAGUGGAACUGCGAGUGUAGAGGUGAAAUUCGUAGAUAUUCGCAAGAACACCAGUGGCGAAGGCGGCUCACUGGCCCGAUACUGACGCUGAGGCACGAAAGCGUGGGGAGCAAACAGG